rnacentral:rRNA from 1 species
CCUACGGGAGGCAGCAGUGAGGAAUAUUGGUCAAUGGACGCAAGUCUGAACCAGCCAAGCCGCGUGCAGGAUGACGGUUCUAUGAAUUGUAAACUUCUUUUGUCAGAGGGUAAAUCCCGACACGUGUAUCGGGUUGAAAGUAUCUUACGAAUAAGCAUCGGCUAACUCCGUGCCAGCAGCCGCGGUAAUACGGGGGGUGCAAGCGUUGUCCGGAAUCAUUGGGCGUAAAGGGUUCGUAGGCGGCAAGGUAAGUCUGAUGUUAAAGCCCGGGGCUCAACCCCGGUUGGGCAUUGGAAACUAGCUAGCUAGAAUGUGGGAGAGGUAAAGGGAAUUCCUGGUGUAGCGGUGAAAUGCGUAGAUAUCAGGAGGAACACCGGUGGCGAAAGCGCUAUACUGGAGCAUUAUUGACGCUGAGGAACGAAAGCGAGGGGAGCGAACGGGAUUAGAUACCCGAGUAGUC